UACGUAGGGUGCAAGCGUUGUCCGGAAUUAUUGGGCGUAAAGAGCUCGUAGGCGGUUUGUCGCGUCUGCUGUGAAAACUCGGGGCUUAACCCUGGGCCUGCAGUGGGUACGGGCAGGCUAGAGUGCGGUAGGGGAGACUGGAAUUCCUGGUGUAGCGGUGAAAUGCGCAGAUAUCAGGAGGAACACCGAUGGCGAAGGCAGGUCUCUGGGCCAUAACUGACGCUGAGAAGCGAAAGCAUGGGGAGCGAACAGG
rnacentral:rRNA from 1 species